AUCUUCUCCCUCUCUCUCUCUCUCUCUCUCUCUCUCUCUCUCUCUCUACCCUUGAAUCAAAGAAGAAGAACAUCAAUCCGUUUCCGGCUUAGAUCGAAGGUGCAUCUCCGGCCAACGUAAAAUUCUAGACCCUAAUCGAGUUUUGGGUUGUUUAAAUGGUUAAUAACCACCGACCUGGACAACGACGGGUGUUCUAGAUUUGUGUACAUCGACCGGUGGUGUUGUCCAUGUCUGAAAAUGACCUUUAAUUUUCAAUUAUUUUUUUACAUUGAUCGACUUCUACAAACUCUACGAUCUUAAAGAUUUGUGCAUCACCGGCAGUCUGUUGAACAUAGACAACGAGAAGAUGCAUGAGGUCGAACAUAUGAAGAUUGAGGAACUCUGAGUUUCGUUUCAUUAGGAACAAGCUAGAUUACUCCUGUUGAAUUCUUCUUUCCAGCUUUUAAUUGAUUGCAAACACUAGGGUUAGGGGUUUUGUUUUUUUUUUUAUUCACACACUUACGAGUUUCGUUGUACAAUUUGUGUGAUUUUAGGAGGCAAGACGAUUGUAUUUUUUUGUACAGUUAUUGAUAAUCCGGAGGAGAAAGCAAUUCUGAUGGAUUCAGAGCGCUUGAAUUGUUUCCAGCCAAGGCAGACCCGGCAAGUGUUCUGUAUUGAGGUUACGAUUUGCAGCAGUUGCAGGGUGAUUUUUGAAUGUAUUUGACUCGGUUUUGAUGAAUGUGAACCCACUAAGCCUUAGGCAACAAACGUGACGUGUUUUUGUAGCCUUGAAGGAAGUUGUGAGGUUCUGUUUUGAACCAGUUCAGGGCUGCUAUUUUAUGAAAGUUGCUAGCUUUUGAUUUGGGUUGUUUUGGUUAAGGUUUCGACCCGUAAUCGACAUUAAGUGAUUUUAUUUGGUUAUGCUUAAUGUUUAUCAAGAUUUUAAGUGAUUUUAGGAUCUACAAUUGAAGGUAAACCAAUAUAGGGGCUGCUGCAUUAUAUAUUAGUUUACCGUUAUAUUUUAGAUGUAGUGUUUGCACAAUAUUGUCUCUAAG
rnacentral:lncRNA from 1 species